UGAGAAUGCCGGGCGAUCGCGGGCCGGAAGGCCUGAGGAAAGUCCGAGCACCGCAGGGCAGGGUGCCGGGUAACACCCGGCGAAGGCGACUUCAGGGAAAGUGCAACAGAAAUAGACCGCCGGGCAUGCCCGGCAAGGAUGGAAAGGCGAGGUAAGAGCUCACCGGCGGCCUGGCGACAGGCCGGCCAUGUAAACCCCACCCGGUGCAAGAUUGGUAUCGGAGCAUAUGCGGCUGCCCGUCGCGCUUCGCGUAAUCGCACGAGCCGCUUGGUAACAGGCGGCCUAGAUAGAUGGUCGCUCAAGACAGAACUCGGCUUACAGGCAUUGCUCAUGGC
rnacentral:RNase_P_RNA from 1 species